UACGUAGGGGGCGAGCGUUGUCCGGAAUUACUGGGCGUAAAGGGCGCGUAGGCGGCCCAAUAAGUCAGAUGUGAAAAACCUGGGCUUAACCGAGGUCUUGCAUUUGAAACUGUUGGGCUUGAGGACAGGAGAGGAAAGCGGAAUUCCCAGUGUAGCGGUGAAAUGCGUAGAUAUUGGGAGGAACACCAGUGGCGAAGGCGGCUUUCUGGACUGCACCUGACGCUGAGGCGCGAAAGCCAGGGGAGCGAACGGG
rnacentral:rRNA from 1 species